GAGAUACUCACGGAUAAGGGAUAUAUAAGAUUAUUUUAUCUCGUGCUAGUUGAAUUUUGAAUCCGAAAUUAGUAAUCUCUAGACUAAUUUAUAUCAUAAUUGUGGUAUUAUUCCUUCCAACUUUGAAGGUGGAUAAUAAUUUGAGGAAUUUUCAGAAAUUACUAUUGUUUAGUGACUAUUAAUGUCACGAUUCAAUUUAGGAUCAUGACCGGCACUUAGGAGCAAGUACCCCCAAGUAAGUUUCAUCGGUAUUUUAUAGAAAAUCGGGUACAAUUUCCCCUGUUUUGGGACUAUCCCAAAAAUUUCCCUCUCUCAAAUCAAACACCAAACAUCCUAAUAUCAUACCAAAUAAUUGACAACUUAUCAAUCAACCAAAACGAGUUUCCACUAUUACCAAUCAACCCACUAACAACCAAAAAUACUAAUUUAUCUCCAACUUUGAUAAUAAAGAACGAUACUCAACAUAAGAUUAUAAUAAUAAAAUAAUACUCAUGACCCUAAAAGAAUGACUAUGGAGCGACUCUAAGAAUUCAAAGAAAAGACCAUAACAAUAAAUGAAAUCUCCGCCCACACGAACAAGUGCGAGGCUCACCAAGAACUAUCAACCUAUGCGCACUAAUUAACGAAAUCCUCGCCUGUGUCAACUGCUGUCUCUGUAAAAAAAUUAGCAGGGAAUGAGUCGCUAGCUCAGUGAGUAAUAACACUUAACCACAACCGUUUUUAUUGGGGACAAGUCAGAAAACAUGCUAGUAUAUCAAAUAGAAAAUAACAUAAGAAUGCCUUUUCAGAAAUAAUAAAUAAUUUUCAGUCUCAUCAUGUUUUUUUUGUAGUAUAAUACACUUAAAAAUUCAGUAAUCACCUCGGUAACCACUAUAUAAUAUUAAUAUUCACAUUUUGGGAGGUUUCAAUGAACAGAUCAUGUAAUCGGUAUAACUGUGGACUUCUUCGCAAAAAGUCAAAUAUAACGGUAGUCCCUACUCAAGGAAAAUCGGUAACGGUAUGCUAGUUCUACCUUUCCACUAGCGAGGGCUAUAACGGUAAUCUGUAAUUACAAGUUGCACCAGGUCUAACGAACCAGCUGUUAGCUACGAGAUCCUUCAAUGACUACUCCCAUUUAUACUUGUCUCUGUAAUCUAUAUAUACUCGUAGAAUUUUUUUUAAAACAAUAUAGGGCAUUUCUGUUCUUAUCAAAUCAUAUAAUUUCAUUUCGAUAACAGUAAAUUCAAGUAACGAUAAAACAGAUCUAGUGACAACGGAAAUAUUUAAAACCACGAUAAUCAUCUCAAAUAACUAUUUCGGUAUCAUAUCGAGUAAAAGACUUGCCCCACAUGCAACUCAAAAUAAUCGGUAACAUAUUCAUAUUAAAAAUCAUGUGUAAAUCAUGCAAGUUAUGAAAACACAGACUGCGGUAAGAUUAUUACUCACUGUACUCGUGUCAAAUUACCAAACGCUUCACCUCGAGCAAUCUGUACAACUUUCUCCGAUUAAUCUCUUUUGCGGUUUUUUUUCCUUCCCCCACAAACUUCCAAUUCGCAGACUUUGCUUUCUUGUUCAAGCUUUAAGCAGAUAAAGCAAUGCUCUGUAUCUCUUUCCCCAAACUCCAUCACGAUUUACUGCCGUUGUAAAGCACCCAAAUUGAAGCCCAUUUUUUUUUUCUUAAUUGUCAAAGCUGUAACGUAUGUGUUAUCUGUGUAGCGUACUGCUUUCAUUACUUUUACUAUUGCUAAUAAAAUUAACAUAUUGCUUAUAUAUCCUCUAGGCCCUUGAAACAGAGUUGUAAAAUGAAUGGGCUUGGCCCACUUUCCCAUGAUUUCUCUGCACUUCUU
rnacentral:lncRNA from 1 species